CUAAAGUGACAUCUGUGGAGACGAAGAAUAUUACAGAGAAGGGUGAUGGACUUCUGAAGGCAGAACAAACAAAGGAAAGAAAGGAGACUCUGCCCGACAAUACAACGCAUGAAAUUGUAGUUCAAGAGAAAGAAGAAAAAUUACUUUCACAGGAUAGCACUAACGAGACAUCCGUGGAAAGUAAGAAUGUUACAUAUAAGGGCGAUGGAAAAGAUGUCGAGAAAGAAACUGUAAUUCAAAAAGAAGUCGAAAAGAAUGUGUGUAAUGGCGACAUCAAAGAGGUUCGUGACGAAAGACAUCUUAAUGAAACAGUUGAAGACCUGAAGCACCAAGUUAGCGACGUGAAAAACAAGAUUGAGGAAGAAAAGGCAAAGGCUGAGGAAACAAGUCCUACGCCUACCCAAUGGAUAGAACAAAAAGCAGUUGCCGCCCCUGCCAUCCAAGAAGGCAAGGUCGUUAGAAAGGUAGUCCCUGCUGUGAGGCCGGUGAAGGUCGUUAGAAAGGUAGUCCCUGCUGUGAGGCCGGUGAAGGUCGUUAGAAAGGUAGUCCCUGCUGUGAGGCCGGUGAAGGUCGUUAGAAAGGUAGUCCCUGCUGUGAGGCCAAUGAGGGUCGUUAGAAAGGUAGUCCCUGCUGUGAGGCCAAUGAAGGUCGUUAGAAAGGUAGUCCCUGCUGUGAGGCCAAUGAAGGUCGUUAGAAAGGUAGUCCCUGCUGUGAGGCCAAUGAAGGUCGUUAGAAAGGUAGUCCCUGCUGUGAGGCCGGUGAAGGUCGUUAGAAAGGUAGUCCCUGCUGUGAGGCCAAUGAGGGUCGUUAGAAAGGUAGUCCCUGCUGUGAGGCCGGUGAAGGUCGUUAGAAAGGUAGUCCCUGCUGUGAAGCCAAUGAAGGUCGUUAGAAAGGUAGUCCCUGCUGUGAGGCCGGUGAAGGUCGUUAGAAAGGUAGUCCUUGCUGUGAAGCCAAUGAGGGUCGUUAGAAAGGUAG